UACCGGCAGCUCAAGUGGUAGCCGCGAUUAUUGGGCCUAAAACGUUCGUAGCCGGAUAAGUAAGUCUUUGGUUAAAUCCUGCGACUCAACCGCGGGAAUUCUAGAGAUACUGCUUGUCUUGAGACCGGGAGAGGUUGGAGGUACUCCUAGGGUAGGGGUGAAAUCCUGUAAUCCUAGGGGGACCACCUGUGGCGAAGGCGUCCAACUGGAACGGGUCUGACGGUGAGGGACGAAACCUAGGGGAGCGAGCCGGAUUAGAAACCCGAUAGUCC
rnacentral:rRNA from 1 species